AGAGUUUGAUCAUGGCUCAGGACGAACGCUGGCGGCGUGCUUAACACAUGCAAGUCGAGCGGAAAGGCCCUUCGGGGUACUCGAGCGGCGAACGGGUGAGUAACACGUGAGUAAUCUGCCCCAGGCUCUGGGAUAGCCACCGGAAACGGUGAUUAAUACCGGAUACGACAACUUCCUGCAUGGGAUGGUUGUGGAAAGUUUUUCGGCCUGGGAUGUGCUCGCGGCCUAUCAGCUUGUUGGUGAGGUAAUGGCUCACCAAGGCUUCGACGGGUAGCCGGCCUGAGAGGGUGACCGGCCACACUGGGACUGAGACACGGCCCAGACUCCUACGGGAGGCAGCAGUGGGGAAUAUUGGACAAUGGGCGGAAGCCUGAUCCAGCAACGCCGCGUGAGGGAUGACGGCCUUCGGGUUGUAAACCUCUUUCAGCACAGACGAAGCGCAAGUGACGGUAUGUGCAGAAGAAGGACCGGCCAACUACGUGCCAGCAGCCGCGGUAAUAC
rnacentral:rRNA from 1 species